UACGUAGGGGGCAAGCGUUGUCCGGAAUCAUUGGGCGUAAAGCGCGUGUAGGCGGCCCGGUAAGUCCGCUGUGAAAGUCCAGGGCUCAACCCUGGGAUGCCGGUGGAUACUGUCGGGCUCGAGUCCGGAAGAGGCGAGUGGAAUUCCUGGUGUAGCGGUGAAAUGCGCAGAUAUCAGGAGGAACACCAAUGGCGAAGGCAGCUCGCUGGGACGUGACUGACGCUGAGACGCGAAAGCGUGGGGAGCAAACAGG
rnacentral:rRNA from 1 species